CGUAUCACUUAAAGCGAUUCAGCGGAUGACGAUUGACGGAGCGAAGCGACGUCAAAGCGUAUACAAAGUCGAGUCGGUUUAAGGAUACGUUCGUUGGGUAGGGGAGCGUUCUGUAAGCCUGCGAAGGUGGCCUGUGAGGGUUGCUGGAGGUAUCAGAAGUGCGAAUGCUGACAUAAGUAACGAUAAAGCGGGUGAAAAGCCCGCUCGCCGGAAGACCAAGGGUUCCUGUCCAACGUUAAUCGGGGCAGGGUGAGUCGACCCCUAAGGCGAGGCCGAAAGGCGUAGUCGAUGGGAAACGGGUUAAUAUUCCCGUACUUGGUGUUACUGCGAAGGGGGGACGGAGAAGGCUAUGUUGGCCGGGCGACGGUUGUCCCGGUUUAAGCGUGUAGGCUGGUUUUCCAGGCAAAUCCGGAAAAUCAAGGCUGAGGCGUGACGACGAGGCACUACGGUGCUGAAGCAACAAAUGCCCUGCUUCCAGGAAAAGCCUCUAAGCAUCAGGUAACAUCAAAUCGUACCCCAAACCGACACAGGUGGUCAGGUAGAGAAUACCAAGGCGCUUGAGAGAACUCGGGUGAAGGAACUAGGCAAAAUGGUGCCGUAACUUCGGGAGAAGGCACGCUGACAUGUAGGUGAAGUGAUUUACUCAUGGAGCUGAAGUCAGUCGAAGAUACCAGCUGGCUGCAACUGUUUAUUAAAAACACAGCACUGUGCAAACACGAAAGUGGACGUAUACGGUGUGACGCCUGCCCGGUGCCGGAAGGUUAAUUGAUGGGGUCAGCGCAAGCGAAGCUCCUGAUCGAAGCCCCGGUAAACGGCGGCCGUAACUAUAACGGUCCUAAGGUAGCGAAAUUCCUUGUCGGGUAAGUUCCGACCUGCACGAAUGGCGUAAUGAUGGCCAGGCUGUCUCCACCCGAGACUCAGUGAAAUUGAACUCGCUGUGAAGAUGCAGUGUACCCGCGGCAAGACGGAAAGACCCCGUGAACCUUUACUAUAGCUUGACACUGAACAUUGAGCCUUGAUGUGUAG
rnacentral:rRNA from 1 species